rnacentral:rRNA from 1 species
GCCUUGCCAGCCCGACUCAGAACUUAAAGGAAUUGACGGGGUCCGGCACAAGCGAGGAGCAUGUGGUUAAUUUCGAUGAUACGCGAGGAACCUUACCUGGGCUCGAACGUAAGAUGACUGUAGGUGAAAGCUUACAUCUCUUCGGAGCAUUUUACGAGGUGCUGCAUGGUUGUCGUCAGCUCGUGCCGUGAGGUGUCGGGUUAAGUCCCAUAACGAGCGCAACCCCUACCUUUAGUUGCCAUCAGGUUAAGCUGGGGACUCUAAAGGAACUGCCUACGCAAGUAGUGAGGAAGGCGGGGAUGACGUCAAAUCAGCACGGCCCUUACGUCCAGGGCUACACACGUGCUACAAUGGCCGAUACAGAGGGCAGCUACCUGGUGACAGGAUGCAAAUCUCCAAAGUCGGUCUCAGUUCGGAUCGGAGUCUGCAACCCGACUCCGUGAAGUUGGAUUCGCUAGUAAUCGCGCAUCAGCCAUGGCGCGGUGAAUACGUUCCCGGGCCUU